rnacentral:lncRNA from 1 species
AAGUAGCUGAGGCACUAGAAGUGCUUGAGAUCAGGAGGUAGAGGUUGCAAUGAUCUGAGAUCAUGCCACCGCACUCCAGCCUGGGCAACAGAGCAAGACUCUGUCUCAAACAAACAAACAAAUCAACAAAAAAUGCUGGAGUCUGAGGAGCCAGCCAUGUGUUAAUAGCUGUAACACUCACCGCGAGGGUCCGCGGCUUCAUUCUGAAGUCAGUGAGAC